AGCACCAGUCCAAUCUCACUCCUCGCUUAGCCUGCACAUUUAGAAAUAUAUGCAGGGCGUGAGUAUAUAAUACUCAGUGGGCAAAUGCCGAAAAACAAGAAAGGUGCUCUUAGAGCUAUAGGUUUGAAGCUUGCCACAUCUCAGCAAUACACAGAAAUAAGUUAGUGUCAAUGAAUCUGUGCAUGCAGUUUUCAUAAUCAACAUCAUAAAUAAGUGUCUGCAGUUUAAGUAUUCGUCAUGUAUGUACCACAUCCACUACUCAUCAUCAAAGGUACUGAGAAGUAGGCCUCCCUCUCAAGUACCGUGACUGGCCGACCCGAAGACGGCUCACAGUCACCUCUGUGCACAAAAUCCCGCUUGUGGCAGGACCGAAUUCGUCUCAUCAGUAGAGGGUAACACACAAGCUCAACAUCAAAAAUUAGGCAAGUCAAACAGUUCUCAAACAUCAUUUAUCUCAAAACAUUUGAUAAGCUCAUAACAUCAUUACAUCAUUUUAGAAAGCUCGGAUAAUAUUUGUAUACUCAAAAUAUUGCCCACCUGAAGACCUUACUCAAAACUCCCGUCAAAGUGGAGUUACUUACUUCCUUGCUCUGCUCGUGUCUUCAGGGAUCAUCGUCAUCAUCGAAGGUUCAUGUCAUAAAAUGAAUCCCGAUUAGAAACUCAACGACAAAAACUCAUGCCUCAACUCAUGCUCUAUAUUAUAUUCUAUCUCCUUAACCAACUCUACAUAAACUCUUCACUCAUUUCAAAUCCUUAAGUCCAAGGAUAGGUUUCAAGAAAAUCAUGGUUCUAAGUCUCGAUUCAUCUCUCAUAUAAGACUCGUCUAAUCUCAUUCAAACACUUAGGCAACACCAUCACAUAAGGCACAUAAGAAAAUACAAGCAAACAUCAACAAAACAUGCUCUGUUUUCCCACUGACUCAACUUCAAAAUUUAACACGUUCUGACUCCGACAUCCCCUGGACUCCAGACCCAUACCAAAAGAAAGGUAUUUGAGUCUAGUUUCAUUUAAAAAAAAGUAGAGUCAGAAACUCCAAGUGGUUUGGGAGAUAUGGCGUUUUUACCAAGAUCUACCAUAUUCGGCAGUUUUGAGCAAUCGGAAACAUUGAUUUUUUUAAAAUAGUAAACGUUGUCAAACUGAGCUCAAAUUUGGUGGAUAUCUAGCCCAUACAGUAAGGUUGAUACCAUAAAAAUUUGGAAAGCUAGAUCACACAGGAAGUCACUGAAAUGAAUGACUUUGUCCCCUGUUCUCUGAAAUUCCCGGCAGAAAUGUGCAGAUUUGGUUUUGCAUUUUAUAAAAAUAGUAAAUCAAGUCCAAAUGACUUGAAAUUUUACCGGUAUGCUCAACACUCAUGUAGGGACGUGCUGUAAAAUUUUCAAAGCCAUUAGACAUCGACAACCCGUCGAUCACAGUAGGUCAGUAGCCUACGAAAAAUCACCAAAAACUCAUCUCAAACUCUUAAAUGCUCAAUUCAACAUUUAUACAAAGCAAACACAUCAAAACUCAUUUUAAGCACUUAGAGCACUUAAAAACAUUCAAAUACAUCAAAAUACUCAUCAUACUCAAAUUAACUCUCCUCUUUUACAUCUUAACUCAAAUCUCAAGGGAAACGUUUCAACAACGUAUCAAUCAAUUCUCUUUUCAAUCUCAUGCUCAAAAACAUUCAAUCAUUCAAAAUGACCUCAUACUUCAUGUAACUCAUUUUACACAUAUAAAUCCCCUAUAAUCAUGCCAACUAAACUCUAAUAAAAACUCAUAUAUCAACAUAAAAUUCUCAACAAAAGCAUGACAACUUUCACAUAAUGGUCAUAAGCAAAAUAGACCUCAUGUUAUCAAUCAUUGACUUCUCAAGAUAUGAAACUCAAAAAUUCUCAUAAACUAACUCAAGUCCAAAUUUUACUUGGCUUAGAAAAGACUUAAUCAAACAUAUUAAAACACUAACAUCAUGUUCAAUUACCUAUAUUUUAAGCCAAAACACUUAAUAGACAUAUAUACAAGAAAGUCCCAAUUUUUAUUAAACUAAACUCUUUGAAAUUUUAUAAACUCACAUGGAUCUUUAAUCUCAUCAUAUCUAUCAAUUUUAGUCAUUUAAACUCACAUAUACUCCAUCAAUUUUAUAAAUUAGAGCAUAGAUACACAUAGCCCUAAUUUUAGUAAACUAACUCAUAUCAAAAUCCCAAUUGACAUCAUAUACUCAAAUUACUCCAUCAAUCAUCAUCAUAUAUACCUCAUAGACUCAUUUACAUCAUCAAUUCAUCACCUUGAUCAUCAACUCAAAAAUUCCCAAAUUGGGGUAAACUAACUCAACCAAAUUUUUACAUCACAAAGCAUAGCUUUUCAAAACACACACAAAUCAUUACCAAACAUCACAUAGAUCAUUUUUCUCACCUCAAUUCAAGGAAAGAAGAAGAAAAAUUUUUGAAGGGUAGAACACCCAAAUUUUCGAAAAUUAAGAAGAAAUAAGAGAGGGUGAUUUCUUGCUUCAAUCCUUCAAAUAUACUCAUAUACAAACUCAUACAAAUUAUAUCUAUGAAUAUGGAGAUCACUUACCCAAGUUUUCACCAAUUAUCCAAAUUUUCUCUCACUAUUCUUGAAACCAAUCUUCAAGGAUUCUCUUGAAUUUAAGUUGAUAAGAGGUGUUUAGGUGGGAUUUUGUUGGUGAUUUAUGUGUUUGGCAUAUUUUGGUAGAGCUUCGGAGGUCUCAUCUAUGGCUAACAAUGGAGGAAAGUAGAGAGAUGAAGGGAGAGAGAGAGAGCUCGAAAAU
rnacentral:lncRNA from 1 species